CCUACGGGGGGCAGCAGUAGGGAAUAUUGCUCAAUGGGGGAAACCCUGAAGCAGCAACGCCGCGUGGAGGAUGAAGGUUUUAGGAUUGUUAACUCCUUUUGUUAGAGAAGAUUAUGACGGUAUCUAUCGAAUAAGCACCGGCUAAAUCCGUGCCAGCAGCCGCGGUCAUACGGAGGGUGCAAGCGUUACUCGGAAUCACUGGGCGUAAAGAGUGCGUAGGCGGGGUAAUAAGUCAGAUGUGAAAUCCUGUAGCUUAACUACAGAACUGCAUUUGAAACUGUUACUCUGGAGUGUGGGAGGGGUAGGUGGAAUUAUUGGUGUAGGGGUAAAAUCCGUAGAGAUCAAGAGGAAUACUCAUUGCGAAGGCGACCUGCUGGAACAUUACUGACGCUGAUGCACGAAAGCGUGGGGAGCAAACAGGAUUAGAUACCCGGGUAGUC
rnacentral:rRNA from 1 species